GACGAACGCUGGCGGCGUGCUUAACACAUGCAAGUCGAACGGAAAGGCCCUGCUUUUGUGGGGUGCUCGAGUGGCGAACGGGUGAGUAACACGUGAGUAACCUGCCCUUGACUUUGGGAUAACUUCAGGAAACUGGGGCUAAUACCGGAUAGGAGCUCCUGCUGCAUGGUGGGGGUUGGAAAGUUUCGGCGGUUGGGGAUGGACUCGCGGCUUAUCAGCUUGUUGGUCGGGUAGUUGCUUACCAAGGCUUUGACGGGUAGCCGGCCUGAGAGGGUGACCGGCCACAUUGGGACUGAGAGACGGACCAGACGCCAACGGGAGGCAGCAGUGGGGAAUAUUGCACAAUGGGCGGAAGCCUGAUGCAGCAACGCCGCGUGCGGGAUGACGUCCUACGGGGUGUAAACCGCUGUCGCAUGUGACGAAGCGUGAGUGACGGUAAUGGGUAAAGAAGCACCGGCUAACUACGUG
rnacentral:rRNA from 1 species